GGAAUUAGCCGGUGCUUUCUCCUGAGGUACCGUCAAAAAUUUCGUCCCUCAGAACAGAAGUUUACGCCCCAAGGGGUGUCAUCCUUCACGCGGUGUCGCUCCGUCAGGCUUUCGCCCAUUGCGGAAUAUUCCU
rnacentral:rRNA from 1 species